CUACCACAUGCGGCAUUAUGACAGUGACUUUCUAAUGCUUUCAUCACCAAGAGUUUAGUGACAUCAUAAGUAACAGAACAGUCAAGCAGCAGAAGAGUAGCUUAUAAUAUCUGAUUUGAUUUCUCUUCAAAGAUCCCAAAGUAUAAUUCUUGGGGAACAUUUGUUCUAGCACUGUUCUUCACAUCACCAAGUCUAAAGGAGAGAAUGCAUACUAAGAGAAAAUUUCUAUUCCUGAUUUUAUCUGCUCUAACACUGAUGCAGAUGGAACAAUAUUUCAGAAUAAAGAAUCACCUAGAGAAGAUA